CAAGCCCAAAUCAACCCAUUCUUAUCACUCAAUAUAAAGCUUAAGUCCAAGUGGAUCAAGGACUUCCACAUAAAGUCAGAUACACUCAAACUAAUAGAAGAAAAAGUUGGGGAAGAGCCUUGAGCACAUGGACACUGGGGAAAAUUUCCUGAACAAAAGACCAAUGGCUUAUGCUCUAAGAUCAAGAAUCGACAAAGGGGACCUCAUAAAACUGCAAAGCUGUAAAACAAAGGACACUGUCAAUAGGACAAAAUGGCAACCAACAGAUUGGGAAAAGAUUUUUACCAAUCCUACAUCUGAUAGAGGGCUAAUAUCCAAUGUAUACAAAGAACUCAAGAAGUUAGACUUCAGAGAGCAAAAUAGCCCUAUUAAAAAUGUGGUGCAGGGGGGCUGGGGAUUUAGCUCAGUGGUAGACCACUUACCUAGGAAGCGCAAGGCCCUGGGUUCGGUCCCCAGCUCCGAAAAAAAAAAAAGAACCA
rnacentral:lncRNA from 1 species